UUCAAAUGUUUUGUUUCAUGUUUUUGGGCAUAUAUAUUUCCACUAAUGGCCCCGUCAGAUUCAUUAUGUGCUGUACUAUUACUAUUUUUGUGUGAUCAGAUUCUGAAUUUAAAGAGGUAUGGAAUAUAUUUUUUUCAUGGAAAAAGAUAAGAAUUUAUUUCAGCCUGCCGCACCACCUUCAAUGUUAUUUGAUCUGUAAGAUUUCAAACUUGCUAGACUGUCAAAUUGAGGAAAACUGUUACAAUAUCAAUCUAUUUCAUACUGUGCUUUACUUAGCCCUGAAUAUUUUAUGUACUGUUUCUCUCAGCAUAUUUUAUUAUGUGCUUGCACUCUUUAGGUAAUAUAUUUCUCUGUGGCGUAACUUCUGCAUCAUUGCAGUCUUCUUGUAGAAGAAAGCCAAAAUUUAAAUGAUAGAUUAUGGAACACUCUUCCCUGAAGGUUUACAUGAGUUUUGCUUAACCUAGACAGAAGAGAGUUGCUUUGUUAUAUGUUUUUUUUUUUCAUUUGCUUAAUUAUUGUUUAUUGCAGAAACAUGCAAAAGUAAGCAAGACAAAACCUUGUUUCCAAAGCCAAUAAUUACAUUAGAGACUUAAUUUCUUCACUCCCUCAUAGAAGGCUUAUUGAUGGUUAUAAAAAUCCUUAGUAAGGAAAAGCAGAGAUCCAGGAGGGCAGCUGAAAUGCAUGAUUCUUUUUUGUUUUGUUUCAAGCAAGAAAAGGAGUCUAGGGAGUUUUUACAGAUUUAUCAGCAGCUCCUAAUCACUCUGUUACAGCAAUGCAGCUAUAAAAUCUUGGCUAGAAUUGUUAUUUCCUCAUAAAAUAAAUCAAAUCUAAGUUUUUCUAACAGUUUUUUCCCUUACUCUUAAGAAAUGUAAGUAAUUGGCUAAAACCACCCUCGAGAAGAAUAGUAGUUUUAUCAUUUUCAAUUCUUGAAGAGUGAUAAAUCACAGGAACUUAAAAAGGUUUUAUCAUUUAUCGGAUAUUACUUGUAUGGUCCCGUAAUUAAAUUUAUUCAUUUUAAUUGCAGUUGAUGUUAUAUUAACUGAAAUAAAAAAAAACCCAAACACUCAAAAUGUAUUGUCUGAAAUUUUUAUAUUAGGCAUGUGGUUUGCUUGGGGAGUCACAAGAAAUAGUAUAUUAUUUAGAAGUUGGCAUGUAAACAGGGACAUUUUGACUCUCAACCAAGCUUAGAACACUAUUCCAGAUACAACCUCAUCUCUGAUGUUAUGCAUGUUAAAAUUAUUCCAUGUUUUAGAUACCAUUUAUCUUGUCCUACCAAUUACCUUUGCUCACCCACACGAUGUCAAUAAAUAGAGAGAGAUCUUCAGUGAUAGCUAGAGAGCCAGGCAGAGAGACUGACAGGUUUCAGUACAUUUCUCAGGAUAAACAAAAUAUAUUCAGGGCACAGGGCAGGAAUGUUGGUGAUAUCAGAAGGCAUUGGAAGGG